rnacentral:rRNA from 1 species
AAGCCCCGCAAGGGGUAAGUAGAGUGGCAAACGGGUGAGUAACACGUGGGUGACCUGCCUUCGAGUGGGGGAUAACGUCCCGAAAGGGACGCUAAUACCGCAUGACAUCCUGCUUUUGAAAAAGCGGAGAUCAAAGCUGGGGAUCGCAAGACCUAGCGCUUGAAGAGGGGCCCGCGCCUGAUUAGCUAGUUGGUGAGGUAACGGCUCACCAAGGCGACGAUCAGUAUCCGGCCUGAGAGGGCGGACGGACACACUGGGACUGAGACACGGCCCAGACUCCUACGGGAGGCAGCAGUGGGGAAUUGUUCGCAAUGGGCGCAAGCCUGACGACGCAACGCCGCGUGGAGGACGAAGAUCUUCGGG